rnacentral:rRNA from 1 species
AGGGUUUGAUUCUGGCUCAGGACGAACGCUGGCGGUGCGCCUUAUGCAUGCAAGUCGAGCGAAGCUUUUCAGUAGUUUACUACAGAAAAUGACUGAGCGGCGAACGGGUGAGUAACGCGUGAGCAAUCUACCUUAGUUACAGGGAUAGCCCGAGGAAACUCGGAUUAAUACCUGAUAUUCUUUAUUUCUCGCAUGAGAAUAAAAGGAAAGGUCAGCCGAACUAAGAUGAGCUCGCGUUCUAUCAGCUAGUUGGUGAGGUAAAAGCUUACCAAGGCUACGACGGAUAGCUGGUCUGAGAGGACGAUCAGCCACACUGGGACUGAGACACGGCCCAGACUCCUACGGGAGGCUGCAGCAGGGAAUAUUGUGCAAUGAACGAAAGUUUGACACAGCGACACCGCGUGUGGGAUGACGGAUCUAGGUUUGUAAACCACUUUCAGGAGGGAAGAAAAUGACGGUACCUCCACAAGAAGCCCCGGCCAACUACGUGCCAGCAGCCGCGGUAA